rnacentral:lncRNA from 1 species
GCUGACUGAGGCGUCUUCUGUGUUAGAAAAAAAAAAGAAACUCAGGAAUAAAGUGCCUCCUCUCACAAUGAAUGGGCUACACAUUUCGGCCCGCAGUGACACAAAAGCUCCUAACUGUUUCAUCUGUACAGAUGGCUCUCAUUUGGUGUUGGUGGCAUGACUCUGUGAGGUAAUUUCCCACAUACUUGGUCCAUUUAACUGGAGGAGGGUAAAAACCUCCUCUAAGCCAAGUUAGAAUCCUCCAAGAAAUAGAAUUGCUCUUAGCCCUGAGUGUGAAAUUUUUGCAGAAGUCCCUGAAUUGCAGAUGUUCCCUCCAAGAGGGAAGGAGGGAGAGUGCGCAAUCUCCCUGGUCUGAAGUGAGAACGGCCUAUGCUCUCACUCUUUGUUCCCCUCCCCAGGGAAAUCCAGUUACCCACUGGGAGUGAGCUGCCCCCUAACCCCGCAUGACCCUGUUCCCCGGGAGGGGCAGCCUGGGGAGUGACAGGCAUGACCUCGAUGGUGGGCCAGGGGCCUCCUCAGAGGAGCAAAGAGAAGCUUGGUGGAAGAGAAAGCCGCUAGUAUUCAGCGAGAAGAUCACUCAAAUCCUUCACCAGCAUGCUCAGUGAAGAAUGCAUUAAAAAAAUUAGACUUUUUUUCUUCCUGGCAACAAAAUCUUGCCAAAAUAAGUACCAAAAUAAGUGUUCCAAUGGUUUUAUUUGGGGAAAGCCAACGCUUUCCCCAAAAAGACUUUUUCUUGUUUCUCAUUUGGCUGCUACAAAUAAAGCUGCAAUGAACAUACAUGUACA